ACGAACGCUGGCGGCGCGCCUAACACAUGCAAGUCGAACGGAGAUACCGAGAUAAUCCCUUCGGGGAGAAUUUCGACUAUCUUAGUGGCGGACGGGUGAGUAACACGUGAGCAACCUGCCUUACAGAGGGGGAUAACAUCUGGAAACGGAUGCUAAUACCGCAUAAUAUUUUCAAGUCGCAUGGCUUGGGGAUCAAAGAUUUAUCGCUGUAAGAUGGGCUCGCGUCCGAUUAGCUAGUUGGUGAGGUAAUGGCCCACCAAGGCAACGAUCGGUAGCCGGACUGAGAGGUUGAACGGCCACAUUGGGACUGAGACACGGCCCAGACUCCUACGGGAGGCAGCAGUGGGGGAUAUUGCACAAUGGGGGAAACCCUGAUGCAGCGACGCCGCGUGAGGGAAGAAGGUUUUCGGAUUGUAAACCUCUGUCCCCGGUGAAGAUAAUGACGGUAACCGGGGAGGAAGCCACGGCUAACUACGUGCCAGCCGCCGCUGUAAAAC
rnacentral:rRNA from 1 species